rnacentral:rRNA from 1 species
CGCUGAAAGCAUCUAAGCGGGAAACUUGCCUCAAGAUGAGAUCUCACUGGGAACUUGAUUCCCCUGAAGGGCCGUCGAAGACUACGACGUUGAUAGGCUGGGUGUGUAAGCGUUGUGAGGCGUUGAGCUAACCAGUACUAAUUGCCCGUGAGGCUUGACCAUAUAACACCCAAACA